GAUCAGAUCAAGCGCGAUAAGGGCGUUUGGUGGAUGCCUUGGCAGCAAGAGGCGAUGAAGGACGUGAUACUCUGCGAUAAGCCAUGGGGAGCUGAGAACAAGCCUUGAUCCAUGGAUUUCCGAAUGGGGAAACCCACCUGAAUGUUUGCUGUUGUGACCCUCGGGUCGUCAACAGUGUGCAUGACCAGGUAUCUUUGACCUGAAUAUAUAGGGUUUAAGAAGCGAACCCGGGGAACUGAAACAUCUAAGUACCCGGAGGAAAGGAUAUCAACAGAUACUCCCCCAGUAGCGGCGAGCGAACGGGGACCAGCCGAGCCGUGAGAAUGACCGGAACGAUCUGGAAAGAUCGGCCAUAGCGGGUGACAGCCCCGUACGGGAAGUUCGAUCGGACGUAUCAAGUAGGGCGGGACACGUGAAAUCCUGUUCGAAGAUCGGGGGACCACCCCCGAAGGCUAAGUACUCCUUGCUGACCGAUAGCGAACCAGUACCGUGAGGGAAAGGUGAAAAGCACCCCGACGAGGGGAGUGAAACAGUUUCUGAAACCGGACGCCUACAAGCAGUCGGAGGGAUCCUGCAUCCUGACGGCGUACCUUUUGUAUAAUGGGUCAACGACUUGGUCUGUCUGGCAAGCUUAAGCCGUUAGGUGUAGGCGCAGCGAAAGCGAGUGUUAAAUGCGCGACGAAGUCAGACGGAUCAGACCCGAAACCGAGUGAUCUAGGCAUGAGCAGGCUGAAGGUUGGGUAACACCAACUGGAGGGCCGAACCCACACCCGUUGAAAAGGGUCGGGAUGACUUGUGCCUAGGGGUGAAAGGCCAAUCAAACUCGGAGAUAGCUGGUUCUCCGCGAAAGCUAUUUAGGUAGCGCCUCGGACGUAUCCCUCGGGGGGUAGAGCACUGCAUGGAUGAUGGGGGCCCACAGCCUUACUGAGUCUAAGCAAACUCCGAAUACCCGAGAGGAUUAUCCGGGAGACACACGGCGGGUGCUAACGUCCGUCGUGGAGAGGGAAACAACCCUGACCAACAGCUAAGGCCCCCAAUUCGUGGCUAAGUGGGAAAGCAUGUGAGACUUCCAAAACAACCAGGAGGUUGGCUUAGAAGCAGCCAUCCUUUAAAGAUAGCGUAACAGCUCACUGGUCUAAUUCAGAGGUCUUGCGGCGAAGAUGUAACGGGGCUCAAGCCACGAGCCGAAGCUUUGGAUGCACAUUUGAUGUGCGUGGUAGCGGAGCGUUCUGUGAUAGAGGACGCUGCCUCUUUUGUCUGAGGCGUCCAUGGUCAUCCGCGAGGAUGACGGACAAGACAGCCAACGGAGGCAAUGUUCUGACUGUGAAGCCGGGCCGUGAGGCAUCCGGUGGAGUGAUCAGAAGCGAGAAUGUUGACAUGAGUAGCGACAAACAGGGUGAGAGACCCUGUCGCCGAAAGUCCAAGGGUUCCUGCUUAAAGCUAAUCUGAGCAGGGUAAGCCGGCCCCUAAGGCGAGGCCGAAAGGCGUAGUCGAUGGGAACCAGGUUAAUAUUCCUGGGCCAGGAGAUGGUGACGGAUCCCGGAGGUCGUUCGAUCUUAACGGAUUGAUCGGGCUGCUGAGGGGUUCCUGGAAAUAGCCCUCCAUGAGACCGUACCCGAAACCGACACAGGUGGACUGGUAGAGAAUACCAAGGCGCUUGAGAGAACCACAUUUAAGGAACUCGGCAAAAUACCUCCGUAAGUUCGCGAGAAGGAGGCCCGGUUGGUGCGCAAGCAUCGGUCGGGGGCACAAACCAGGGGGUGGCGACUGUUUACUAAAAACACAGGGCUCUGCGAAGCCGCAAGGCGACGUAUAGGGUCUGACGCCUGCCCGGUGCCGGAAGGUUAAAAGGAGAGGUGCAAGCCUUGAAUUGAAGCCCCGGUAAACGGCGGCCGUAACUAUAACGGUCCUAAGGUAGCGAAAUUCCUUGUCGGGUAAGUUCCGACCUGCACGAAUGGCGUAACGA
rnacentral:rRNA from 1 species